rnacentral:rRNA from 1 species
GACGAACGCUGGCGGCGUGCCUAAUACAUGCAAGUCGAACGGUCUUUUCUAUGGAAGCUUGCUUCCGCUGGGAAGAUAGUGGCGAACGGGUGAGUAACACGUGGGUAACCUGCCCAUAAGAGGGGGAUAACAUCCGGAAACGGGUGCUAAUACCGCAUAGUUUUCUUGAUCGCAUGAUCGAGGAAGGAAAGACGGACUUGUUGCUGUCGCUUAUGGAUGGACCCGCGGCGUAUUAGUUAGUUGGUGAGGUAACGGCUCACCAAGACGAUGAUACGUAGCCGACCUGAGAGGGUGAUCGGCCACAUUGGGACUGAGACACGGCCCAAACUCCUACGGGGGGCAGCAGUAGGGAAUCUUCCGCAAUGGACGAAAGUCUGACGGAGCAACGCCGCGUGAGUGAAGAAGGUUUUCGGAUCGUAAAACUCUGUUGUCAGAGAAGAACAAGUCGGAGAGUAACUGCUCCGGCCUUGACGGUAUCUGACCAGAAAGCCACGGCUAACUACGUGCCAGCCGCCGCUGUAAAAC